rnacentral:rRNA from 1 species
GACGAACGCUGGCGGCGUGCUUAACACAUGCAAGUCGAACGGAAAGGCCCUGCUUUUGUGGGGUGCUCGAGAGCCGAACGGGUGAGUAACACGUGAGUAACCUGCCCUUGACUUUGGGAUAACUUCACGAAACUGGGGCUAUUACCGGAUAUGAGCUCCUGCUGCAUGGUGUGGGUUGGAAAGUUUCGGCGGUUGGGGAUGGACUCGCGGCUUAUCAGCUUGUUGGUCGGGUAGUGGCUUACGAAGGCUUUGACGGGUAGCCGGCCUGAGAGGGUGACCGGCCACAUGGGGACUGAGAUACGGCCCAGAAUCCUACGGGAGGCAGCAGUGGGGAAUAUUGCACAAUGGGCGGAAGCCUGAUGCAGCAACGCCGCGUGCGGGAUGACGGCCUUCGGGUUGUAAACCGCUUUCGCCUGUGACGAAGCGUGAGUGACGGUAAUGGGUAAAGAAGCACCGGCUAACUACGUG